ensembl:lncRNA PPIEL peptidylprolyl isomerase E like (pseudogene)
GGCCGCCGAGAGGGUUCACAAAGGGUAGGGUGGUGUGGAGCAAGGCAGGGUCCUCGCAGGCAGUGCCAAGAUUGAGCUGGGGGUGGGCAGAGUGGGCGGGGUGCGGACCCAUGGCCCUACGCAUCCUGGGCCAGGUCUCUUGUGGUGCUUCACGCUCUCGACCUGUGAGUGGUGCCUGCUAGAGCUGCCCAGAUCCCUUUUCCCUACCCCUUCUGACCCUGGACCCAGAGUGGUGGUUGCGAUCUGCUACCGUGACGUCAGCCCUCAUUCGUUCGUUCCACAAACUCCACAGCUCUGGUCCAUUAGAGGAAGGAGGUCCCAGAAUAGCUGGGAAAUUACGAGAACAGCCUCACUGCACGAGUUGGUGAAUGCUGUGAUGGCGAUUGUAUGAUGGACGGUGAUGUUGAAACCAGACUGGGGAAUGACCGCCCCAUCCGGAGAGCUAAAAUAAGUUUUUCCUGGGAACGAAGACUAUGAUGCUCCCUUCUUUAGUAGUCACCUGACCCAAUGAAAAGCACCAAGGAUUCUCUUUUGUUGAAUUUGAGUUGGCAGAGUUUGGUCAGAUGAAGACUGGGUGGAGAAGUUUGCUGGGAAGAGGAUAAAGAGGAAGGUGGUUGAGACUUCCCAAAGCAGAAAGCCAGGAGCGCAGCCCAUUUACUGCCUUCUCCAGGAAGCUUUUCUGAAUCCUCCAGUGAGUAAGGGAGAGCCCACUGCUAAAAAAGGCCUAGUCAAAUCCUCAGGUGUACAUGGACAUCAAGAUUGGGAACAAGCCGGCUGGCUGCAUCCAAACCCUCCUGCGUUCCGACGUCGUGCCCAUGACCACAGAGAAUUUUCUCUACAUGUGCACCCAUUUAAAGGACUCGGCUUCAAGGGAAGCAGCUUCCACCGCAUUAUCCCCCAGUUCAUUUGCCAGGGCAGUGAUUUCACAAACCACGGUGGCACCAGGGGUCUGCGCAGGCAUGGCACUAAGUGUCCCAUGGCACAUUUGGCCCUCAUGGAGGCCUCAAAAGGGCAGGACCAGCACCCUCUUCUACGGAGGAAGGAACGGGCACAGCAGAAACAAGGAGAGUCAGCAAUUACCAGCCAGCCAAGGUCCUGGAAGCUGACGUAGAGCUCGUGCCGACGGCAGACCUGCCGGCCGUGGGAGCCGCGGACGUCAUCUGCAGGGACAGAAGGGGCAAGGUCUUUUCUGGGGUUCCUGCUGUGUGCAGCUACUAUGGGGUACCAGGGUGGGGGAUGCCCUGAUGAGCACAUUUGUCAAAUAAAUGAAUGACAGGAAACCA